rnacentral:rRNA from 1 species
CCACACUUUAAACUGUCCACGUGAACUGUAAGCAAGUCUAGCGCUGUGACUGAUCUGGUGUUUUYGGAUASUGGAUCGGGAGUSAGCAGGACGAAGGUUGGUCUCGUAAUGUAAAUUAUGGGACUAGCUGAUGCAUUCCGUUUUUCAAACCCUUACAUAAAUACUGAUUGAUACUGUGGGGACGAAAGUCCUUGCUUUUACUAGAUAACAACUUUCAGCAGUGGAUGUCUAGGCUCGCACAUCGAUGAAGAACGCUGCGAACUGCGAUACGUAAUGCGAAUUGCAGAAUUCAGUGAGUCAUCGAAAUUUUGAACGCAUAUUGCACUUUCGGGUUAUGCCUGGAAGUAUGUCUGUAUCAGUGUCCGUAAAUCAAACUUGCCUUUCUUUUUCUGUGUAGUCAGAGAGAGAGACGUGCAGAUGUGAAGUGUCUCGCAUGGUUGCGUUUUCGGACGACGAUCUGUCGAGUCCUUUUAAAUGGACAGGGUCUUUCUAUGGUCUGUGUGAAGUGUGGUGCUCGAAAGGCAGUGAUUUUCGGAUCGCUGGCGGCUUUUGGCGACUUCGGCAUGAACAUAUGGAGACUACCUCGGUUCGCGGUAUGUUAGGCUUCGGCUGAACAAUGUUGCGUAAUUGAGUGUGGAAUCCGUUUGUGCCUUGAGGUGUACCRKAGGUUGUCGGYUUGAGCUGUGGAUCGUUGUUUAGUAGGGUAUUUUCGCGAUGUACGGAGACGCUGCAUUUAGUUGCGUAGAGAGAUUUAUUUGGGAAAUUCUGUAUCGUUGAUGAUCGAAUGAUUGUCGGUGGUAUCUCAAUUGGACCUGAUAUCAGACAAGACUACCCGCU